AAACAACCCCUUAAGUCUCAUGUAACGGCGUCACUAGCCGCCACCAGAAGUCGCCCCACGACGGCGGCGUAUCUCCAAGCACUCCCAAAUUAACACCAUCGCUUCGCCUCUACUCCCUCAUCCCAACACCACACUCGGUUCCUCUCUAAUCACACUAGAAUGGUUCAAAUUUUCAAAACCCUAGCACCGCCACAGUUCCUCCGGUGGCGGCGUUGCCUCCAAACAACCCCAAAACCACACCCUGUCACCUCCUUCUCUCCCUUAUUCCAAUUCCUCGCUUAUUUUCCCUCAAACACCCCUAGAAAAUUUCAAAUAUCAAAUCACAGAUUGAGUCCAAAAACUCUAGAGUCAUCUUCUGAGGAACUUGAAAUCAUGCAUGGUUAUAAGAGGACGUUUCCUCGAGUUUGAAGGUCGGAGCAGUAGAUAUGAUGUCGUUCAGUCCGUUCUUCACAAAGAACAAUUGAGUAACCAUAGUUUAUUGGGUCGUUUGACCUCGUUCUGAUUCAAGGCGAGCUGGUACGUAUUUCUCUUCCCCAUAGAUGUUUUAUCUAUGUCGAUUGGAUUAUUCUCCUUCUCCUUCCUUUUCUUUAACUUAGAUCUUAUAAUAAUCUGUUUGGAAAGGUGAUUUAGCCUCCGAGGUCAAAUUUAGUUUUCUGUCCAUCAUUUGUGCCAUUCUUUCUUUCUUCUUUUUAUGAGACUAGUUCCGUGAUUUCUUUAAUUUUGUCAAAAAUUAUGGUUAAGUGCCAGGUUCAACAUUUCUACCUAGUUAAUUUAAUUAGAUUCAAAUUUGGUUAAUUUCUUGCCAUGGGAACUGAUUUUUGCACCUUUGUUGUCAUUGUUGUAUAUUUCUAAAUUGUCGAUUUAUUUUUUUUAUUUUAAAAAAGGGAAAGUCUUGACGACUCUUGUUGGGGAAAUAUGUGUUCUUGAUCAUGUUACCCGCGACUAUUUGAGUUUUAAAUUGAGUCCCAUUUUUCAGGAGGGUCCCGACAACUCUUAAUCGAAUAUGCAAGUCAUUUAUGUUUCUUGCUAUUCAUGGUUAUCUCCAUCCUUUGGGCAAGUCCCAUUUUCCAGGAGGGUCCUGAGGGUUCAAGAUUAAAUGCCAAUUCUAACUUUCAGUUGUUUCUGCUGGGGAUAGCUAGUUAAAGUUUGUCCAAUUAUUCAGGAGCGUCCUGACGACUCUUAGUAGGGAAGGUGUUUAUGCCCGUCCAUGUCACCAAUGCCCGUUUGAGUUUUAAACUGAUUACCAUUUCCGGGAGGGUCUUGAGAAUUUCAAACUGUGUACCCCUUUUAUAUCUCGGUUGUCUUUGCUGGGGAUUGCUAAUUAAAGUUUCGUCCCAUUAUUCAGGCUACGACUCUUGUUGGGGAGAAUAUUAAUGUCGGAUUAUGUUCCUUUUUGAGUUUUAAUUAGGUCCUAUUUUCCAGGUAGGUCCUGAGAUUUUUUAUCAUAACUACCAUGUGCCUUACUUCCCAUGUGGAUGGCCUUCCAUAGGACCUUCCGGAAUUUUCUACCCCUGUGUCAAUCAAUGAAAAUUUGUUAGUUUGAAAAUUGGUGGUUAGCUUGCGGCAUUCUUGUUGAAAGUGGCCUCCCCACUUCUCGUGUUCCGUUGUCUUUAAUAUUUUGCACUGAUGUUGCGUUGCCUGAGUUGCUUAGCUGACCCCCAAACCCUUAUGGUCUUACUUUGUUCCCCCGUUAUUGUGUUACACUCCUGGCCCUUUUGCAAAAAUUCUUACAUCUUUCCUGAGAUUACCAAGUCAAUGUACUAUGCUUGGAUGACCCCCAUGACGCUUGUGGCUUUACACUGCUACCCCGUCUUUAUGUUGCACUUCUGACCCUUUUGCCAGAACUCUUGCCUCUCGAGUCAGUUUUACCAAUGAAGCUUUCGUGGAUCCUUCCCCUUGCUGUUUCAACCUUUGCUGCCUUUGUUACGUUUUUGGCCGACAUGUGCUUUGUCCCUUUGGGAACUUGGUAGUUGCACAUCAAAACUACGUCAUUUCAAACUCCUUUACCUCAUUAAACGACUAAAUCCAACCCCAUGUCCUCAUAAUUCAUUCAAUUAAGUUUAAAACCUAGUUCUUGUCUCUCUCAAAACAACCACCACCUGCUCCAUCAUUCCUCCGCUGCCUGGAAAUCAUUUCACGACGGCAGACCACCCCCAAAUCCCCUCAACCUUCAAACACACAACCAUUAUCCUCCCACCCCAUCCAUUCAUAUCCCUCCAUUAUUUUCUCCAAAAGACCACUCAUUUUCUCCGAAUUUGAGAUCUAAGAAUAAAAAUCCAAACUUUUUGCCUUCUGUUCGAUUUUUCUUAACCUGGUCCUCAAUUCAUUAUGAAACCCACGUGACUUCCCUAUUUUUCAAUGUUAGGAGUCGUUUAAUGUAAAGGUUGCCCUAUGUCACAGAUUGGCCAGAUUCCGGGCAAAUAACCUUCGAAUGUCCAAAACCCUUUGAGCCUCUACCUCAUCUCUUCUUUGGCAUGUGGUAAGGAUUUUUGCAUGAAGCACCAGCUAUGGACGAGAGUACGGCUAGUGUUCAUGUUCCAAUUCUCACCAUUUGGCCGAUAUUCUUGCCCCCCGAAGUUUCAUUUAAUUCGUCCCUAUUUCUUAAGGAUACUAGGGCCUUGUUUGAUUCAAUUGGUAUACCAUCUUCUCCCCUUCUGUAAGUUUAAUUAAGUCAUAUGUCAUAAGCUCGAACCAAACAUGCCUUAGCACAAAUUGGAGUUUUUGAUGUUUUUUGUUAAUUAAUUAGUUGAUUAGCUUUUAAUUUGCAUUUCUUUUCAAUGCUUUCAAAUUCUAGAAAAAAUUUAGUCCUCAUGUUUGGAUGUCAUUUUUCUCUGAUUUUUGUUUGUUCGAUUGGUUUGCGUGUGCACAAUGGGUAGACCCAUUAGAUUAGAAAUUGGGAUUUUUACAUAUAUAUACCAUAUAGCAAAUCUUAUUACCAAAAUUGUGUAUGGUUUGGUAUUUACCUUCUCAAUCGCUCUUUUUAGUGGGGAGGAAUAGUGCGGGAAGGGAGCGAGACCAAGCCGAGCCACUAGUAGAGUAAGCCCUUCCCACGUGUCAAGUUGAAUAUGAAUAAAUGAAUGCAGCCUCAACCAGAGAGAUCAACCUGCGCCUUUGGGUUGAGGCCGCUGGCGGCGCAGAACGAACUAAUCCGCGACCAGCAAGUUUUCCGUUAAGCCCAGAGCUUCCUCGCUUGAAUAAGCAUGCGCCGCUCAUAUUGAGGUCCUAUACCAUGUUUUGUUUACAAAAAUUGUACCAAACCAAAAAUAGAUAGAUUCUACCCUANN
rnacentral:lncRNA from 1 species